UGGUAGAUGCACCUUGAUCUUCAACUCCCCUAACUGGUUAUGCGCCUUUAGGGGGUUUUUUA
rnacentral:sRNA from 1 species